rnacentral:rRNA from 1 species
AUUGAACGCUGGCGGCAGGCCUAACACAUGCAAGUCGAGCGAGCUGCGGACGGGUGAGUAAUGUCUGGGAAACUGCCUGUUGGAGGGGGAUAACUACUGGAAACGGUAGCUAAUACCGCAUACCAUCAGAUGUGCCCAGGUGGGAUUAGCUAUUAGGUGGGGUAACGGCUCACCUAGGCGACGCUCCCUAGCUGUUCUGAGAGGAUGACCAGCCACACUGGAACUGAGACACGGUCCAGACUCCUACGGGAGGCAGCAGUGGGGAAUAUUGCACAAUGGGCGAAAGCCUGAGGCAGCCAUGCCGCGUGUGUGAAGAAGGCCUUCGGGUUGUAAAGCACUUUCAGCGGGGAGGCGUUACCCGCAGAAGAAGCACCGGCUAACUCCGUGCCAGCAGCCGCGGUAAUUC